rnacentral:ribozyme from 14 species
CACAAAUGAAAAAAAAAGGCACGUAGGAAAUGAAAAUCAUGUAAUGAUAUAUUUAAAUGUUUGCCAUGCUGUAUUGCUUUUUCCCUGGCAUUUUUCUUC